rnacentral:misc_RNA from 1 species
AACGCACAUUGCGCCCCUUGGUAUUCCGAGGGGCAUGCCUGUUCGAGCGUCAUUACACCACUCAAGCACAGCUUGGUAUUGGGCAACCGCCCCCGCCAGUCGGGGACGCGCCUCAAAAACCUCGGCGGAGCCUCACCGGCUUUGGGCGUAGUAGAUUUUCUAAACGUCCUUUAACGGAGAUGGUUCCUUUGCCGACUGAAGCCUCAUAUUUUUUACAGGUUGACCUCGGAUCAGGUAGGGAUACCCGCUGAACUUAA